CAGAACUAUGCGUGAUCUUCUCUGUGUUGGUGCCAGGGCAGGGUAGACACGUGCUGCCAAGCCUGGGACCUGUGGUGAUUCCCAGUACCCACAGUAUACAAUGAGAACCCCUGCCACUUCAGGUUGUCCUCAGUCCUACCCAUGUGUGCCGUUACGUGUGCAAACCAUGCUUAUACCUAGACCCUGUACACAUAGAAGUGUGAUAUAAUUUUUAAAAUGAUAAAUGAUCUUUGUUCCUUACUUGCCCCACAAGAGCAUAAACCCCACUAAAGCAUGAUGGUUUUCCACUCGUUAUGACCCAAAUACCUGGAACCAGACAGAGUGCAAGUUAACUUUUUGUUAAUGGACAUUUCAUGCUGCUGAUAAAUAGAUUUCGCUGGUUCCUAUCCAGUGUCUGUUCUGUUUGGGAUAUCAGAAGAUCCUGACCCAGAUUCCUUUGAGCCCGUGUGCCAUACUGUAAAUCAUUUCCUAUCAAUAAAACCUAGUCAAUGGCUGGGCUAGGUGACUCAUGACUCUAACUCCAACAUCCAUAAUUGAGAAGGUCUUUGUGAGUCAAGGCCACCCUGGCCUACAUAAGACUUCCAGGCAAUCAUAGUAAAGCCCAGAGCCACAUAGUAAAACCCUGUCUCAAAAAACCAAGAAAAAGAAAAACAAAACAGUAACAACAAAAACUCAAACUAAAGGCCUGCUAGAAAUGUUAAAAUGUUUUUGCCUUCUUGAUGUAGGCAAAAUGUUGAUGGCUAUGAGGAUUAAAAAGGGAAAGAGAUGAUCUAGUAGAAUCACAGUUUCACUAGCUUCAGACCUCUGGUUAUGUGGAUACAUUUAAAUCUUGGAGGUUAACUCCAGUAGCCAGCUUUGUUACAUGCAGCCAAGUACUGUGGUGCGUUAGGGAUCAAUCUACCCUUUUAGGCUAAGUCUAAAUAUGUCAUCUCCCCUGCUGCCAGUGUAAGGGUUAGGACAGUUCACCAGUGCACCUCUCACUUCCUGUCAGAUUGUCAAUUGAGGAGUAGGACUUGGCUAGGAAGGAACACUUUGCUCUUGGGUUCACACAGACUUAAAAGUGGGAGUUGUGUGGUAACUUCACGCUGCUUAAAUUGUUCCCAAUUUAUAUGUGUGAAUACUUUGCAUGCAUGUAUGCGCACCACUGUGUGCCUCAUACCCUCAAAGGCCAGAAGACUGCCUCAAGUCCCCCGGAACUAGCGUUAUGGAUGGUUGUGAACUACCAUGCAGGUCCUAGGAAUUGAACCCUGGUCUUCUGCGAGAGCAACAAGUGCCCUGAACUCGGAACCAUCUCUUCAUCCUAAUAAUGUUCGUUCCUGAAAUAAACAUUCAUUUGUU
rnacentral:lncRNA from 1 species